GGAAGAGAUUUAAUUGCACUUCAGAAGCUGGGGCCAGAUUUCUUUUAAAACACAAAUAAAGAUGAAAAAUUCCAUUGUGUCCACUUUGUACAGAGCCCAUAAAACAUGGCUGCAACAUUUUAUGUGCAUGUUUUUAUUUGUGUCUUUAGAAACCCCCAUACUGCAAAGGAAUUUUACUUUUUGGAGCCACCAGGAAGCCAGAAGGAGUGCAGAAGAGCUGUCAAAAUAAUCUUGAUUUAAACCCAGAAGAACUGACCUGGAGCAGAUGCUCAGGAGCAGAGGACUUGAGUGAAAAGGAAAUUAAAGAACAAAGCCAAGAGCAAUAAAGGUGAGAGCAGAGAUGAUUUCUGAGGGCUGGGGACAGCUGUCCUCCAUCCCUGUCACAUGAGGUGACAUUCCCUGUGCCAGUGGCACUUGAAAUUCCUGUUUUCCUAACGUUAAGCCUGGAUCCCACCCCAGAAGAUGCUCAGCUGACAUAAACCUAGGAGGCUGAGGUGUAAAAAGGAGUGGAUGCAUCCCAAAAAGCCUGCUCCUGCCAUUUGCUGUGGUUUCUCCAAGCCUGGAUGGUGUAUCCCUCAAGAAAAACCUAGAUAAAAGUCAAUUGCAUAGCCCAGUUUGGGAUGAAGAGGACCAUCCAUAAGGAUGUUGGAAGAGGCACCAGAGAGCCACCAAAAACCUGAGCAAAAAGCACUCAUUCCAAAGUUUUGGAAUGUUUUUCUGAGAUACAGAAAACAAAACUGCCUGGAAAAGCAAGACAAAAGGGGAUUUCCAUGUGUAAUAUCCGUGGAAUCGAAAAUAACUUCUAUUUUAGGCUGUCUGACCUAAAAGCCAUAUCCUUGUGCACAGAUACAUGGAAAGGGCGACCUCUCCAAGGCACCAGCGUUCCCAGAGGUGUCUGGAAAACCACAUCCAAUGAGAAUGUUAUUCCUUCUUGGCCAAUCCCAGCCCCAGACAUUCCAGUUGCCCCCCCAGCCACCACCAGUUGCCCUCUCCAGUGGUGAUGUUCUGAGGCUUUGUGCCCAAAGCUAUAAAAUCCCUUUUCCUUGCCACAUCCUUCACUUUUUUGAUCCAUUUUACUCCUGGAAAGCACAAAAACUGUGAAUAUUUUCCAGGAACAUUGUUUCACUUCCACAUUCAGGCAAUAAAAGAGCCAAUUCCUUCGAUAUAUUUAACAUUUUUAGCCCGAAGCAAUAAACCAUAUUUUUAAUGGAGGAGGUGGAAGCAUGAGGCAGCAAUUCCAGGCUCAAUUUUGACAAAAGGAAUAUAUUCUUGGCUUUAUAACAAAAUUUCUUUCUGUGGUAAAGAAAAACCAACAAAAUCUGGUGUGUUGAGCUACACAUUUAAGUAUAUUUUAUCUGUGUGCAGUUCAGAGCUACAAAAAAUUAGCUUAUCCAGCAUUUUCCUGCUCAGGAGAGGGGCACCCACCCCAGAAGAAAACCUCUGGGAAUGUUUUGCCCACCUCAGGUGGCUCCAGGGCUUCUCGGAGGCUUCUGAGGUGUGAACAUCUGCUCAGAAUGGAAUAUUUCUACUCGAGCUGACACCUUGAAGGGACAGAGCACCUCCUGCUCUUCCUCUCACCUGGGCCAGGGCCUCACAUCACCAGGGUGGAGUUUUGGUCACUUUAAAGGUGUCCAUGUCAUGGCCAUGGCCACUGGUGAGGGUCCCACCAGCAACCCCUCAUGGAGACAAACUCGUGCACCUCCCCAGGAACACCUUGAGGUUGGCAAAACCCCUUAAAAAUUAACCCAAAACCUUCACAAGGCUCAAACCAAGCCCCAGACUGGUGGGUCCCUCACUAGAGGGUGGAGAAGCCAGAUGUUAAUUUAGGGAGCAAAUCCCUGGUAUCAGGACAGGAGGGAGUGACUUCAAAAGAGAGGUUGAGCACGGCCUCCUGCUCUAAAGCAUCCUCAGCAGGUGACUCCUUCAAAAUACUCAUAAAUUUAAUACUCAUAAACAAAAUAAUCAUACACUAAACCCCAAAACCCAGGAAGGGACCAGUGUUCCCCCAGAUGUUCUUUCCUCCGCAGGAUUUCAUAUCCAGCCAGGAAAAGUCAGGAAUAAACCACAGGGAAGACCAAGCUGAGCUCUGAACACCAAAUUUCCUCUUUACAUCACAAAUAACCACCAAAGCCACCUCAUUUUGCCCCUUUUACUAUUCUUCAGCUUCCACAGGGUUAUGGAGUGGAGGUUUUGUGGUGGCAACAGUAACUCUGUUCCCCUUGUGCCCAGGCUUGCAGGAGUUCCUAACAUACUGCGGGAGUGUCCGGUGUCCGGAGCUCCUCCGUGGUGUAACCCAACUCCCUCUUCCUACUCCAAGGUUUUGUGUUGCCUUGGUGCUGCAAACAGCUCGCCUCUCGCUCUGGAUCUGCUUUAAAGGAGACCACAGAGCUCCAAAGCUCCAAGCAGGCUCGGAUUUUAUCUUUUCUCUACAGCUCUGCACAAAACCAGGCCCUGUCCGGGAUGUA